GACACAAGGCAAUGUCUCCCCAGAUUUGGCCAUUAACACGAAGACACUAGAACACUGGACAGUGUCAAAUUCAGAGUCCCAGAAGGUGGCCUCUCAUGGGCUCAGUAAAAGGUUGGUUCAAGAAACGGCGGGCUUUAUGAUUAACAGGAAGGACCUCAACUGCAAGCCAGUCUCUGCCGGUUACUCAGCCUAUGAUACCUGUGGCUCGCUCUUCCCCUUCCUGCUUUAUCGACUUCCAAAGAGUUUACUGGGAGAUGAAACUAUAGCAGGGGCCGUUCGGCCGGGGAUGGAAGCCUCUCAGCCAGAUGCCACGGGGAACCACUAGCAGGCUCCCUCAGCGACAAUAACAACAAUGGAAAGAACUCACGAUGAAGGCCACCAAGUUCUGAUAAAUAAAAAUUACAUACAGUCACUAA